rnacentral:rRNA from 1 species
AGGACGAACGCUGGCGGCGUGCUUAACACAUGCAAGUCGAGCGGUAAGGCCUUUCGGGGUACACGAGCGGCGAACGGGUGAGUAACACGUGGGUGAUCUGCCCUGCACUUCGGGAUAAGCCUGGGAAACUGGGUCUAAUACCGGAUAUGACCUCCUAUCGCAUGGUGGGUGGUAGGAAAGAUUUAUCGGUGCAGGAUGGGCCCGCGGCCUAUCAGCUUGUUGGUGGGUAAUGGCCUAACCAAGGCGACGACGGGUA